UCCACGGAGCACUGCGGGCGCAGCAGCUGCUCCAGCGGCAGGUGCUGCGGUCUGUGCUUGGGCCAAGUUGGCAUCCGUGUGUCCUUGAAGCGCCUGUGCGGGGUGCACGCUCUGUGUUAUCAGUGAGAGCAGCCAGAAGUCAGGGCAGAGCGGUUGUCCCCGACAGUCUCCCCUGGGCCGUCGAGGGCUCCAGAUGCCCUCUUCAGUUCCGCUGCUCUGCUGCGGAGCUCAUUCCCACCCGAGGGACAGCUGCUGUGGUCUACGCACCCAGGCGCUUGGGUUGCUUGGCUCUUUGUUCAGCUGCAGCGCUGUGCCCCCUGAACUGGCGGGUCCAGAGAGACCCUGGUGUCCACGCUCUGGGGCCCCGUUCAGCGCAGAAGACCCCCAGACCAGCACCCGGCAGUGGGCAAGGGUCAGCCCAGGUGACUGCGAUCAUGGGCACUGCAGGACUCCAGCUGCAUUAGUUCCGGGAGCUGCCCAAGGAAGGUGAUAUCUGCCAGAAGAUCUGGAAAAUGAAUAUCUUCCAAAUUAACAAGUCAAUGUUAACAUGCCAUCAGGGUACCCUGGAACUCGCUGUCAGAGUACACCUGGAAUGAAGCCUUUGAAAAGUUUCUUUAAAAUACUCUUGUUCCUCCUGAUGGGGAGAAUCACAGCCUUUGUGACAGAAGUCCCCUGUUUUUCUCCUUUGCUAGCAAAGACAUUUUUUUUCCUUUUUCCCAAAUCAUUUUCUUGUUAUUUAAUUGUCAUUGGGGACAAGGACAGAGCAUGUGGUUACAACUUUGUUCCCCUACCUGGGGACCCAAGAGCAGUUCCCAACCCUGGAUUUCUUGGCUAGACCUGGCACUGCAAGCAACUGCACUUCCAUGCUGAAUGAAGAUGUUUGGCAAACUUUUUGAGAGUUGACUACUGGAAAAUUAGUAGAUGGGAAAGUGUGUCUUCGGUUGAACCAGAGGAGUUAUUUCUGUAAGUAAAGGUAGUGACUGAGGGAUUCCCAGCAGCUUCUGAAGACCGCUUUGCUUCAGGAAACUCCAAUCUUCCUUUCCUGCAUUUUAAGGAUUGCUCCAUCUUGGUCUACUUUGAGAAAAAGGAAACUGAAUGAUGUAGCAAUGUCUGGACAACACGGCCAUUGGUGCUCUAGGAAGAAGAAACCAUCUGUUUUUCAAAUAUCUGCCAGAGACCAAUCUCCAUGGAAGAACAGAGGAGCCAGCAAAGGAAAAAAGGGCCUUUGAAAGCAUACAGAAAAAUGCCCUCAGUGUACAAAGAAGCAAGCCAGCCAUGAAAACUUUUGUCUCCCCAUCUUGCACAAUCUGCUGGAGCACAGCUAUAUUGAAUCAAAGACCCCUGACUCCUGGCACAUGUGUAUCAUUUAUUCAACUGAAAAUAUUUCCACCACAAAUUACAUUGGGUUCCUUGCUCCAAGGAAAGAUUAUUAACCCUUCAAUCUAGAAUAAUCUAGUUAAUGUAAAAUGACAAUGCAUUCAGAAUGAUAUUCUCUCAACUGGGAGAUUUACCACAUGAUAUACUAGACUCAAAUAUUCUAUAGAAAUAGAAAUCACAGGCUUGGGUCACCUAAAAUAUCUAAAAUGUCCCACCCCACCCUUCUGAGGAUUCCAAGACUUUUCAUUCUGUGAAUGGGAAAGGCUUUAUGUGACUGCUUAAUCCAGAUGCGGCACAUGGACUAAAUUUUAUCUUCCUUAGAAAGCACUAUAGAAUCAUUGUGUCUUUCAGGAGUCAGGCAGUUGCCUGUGCCCUUUUCUCUCAGUCAGCCACUCUAUUCCCUGUUGUGCAGCCCUAUUUUACAACUGAGCUUCAGUCUGGCUACCUCUGGGUACUUUACCAGUGUUUGUGGGGGAUAAACAACAUGGGAGGCUGCUUCCCACCAUCCAAGAUUCAGCACAACUGCACCAGGAAGAGAGCUGAGUAGGGGCAAGUGAGACAAACAGUCAAAAAGGUCAAAGCUCUGGGCCAUUCAAGGGCCAAGCUUGCGCCAAGGAAACAGGAUUUCAAGAAAGACUGGUCUUGUUGGAAAGGGAUGGGAGACAACAGAAUUCCUUCCCCAACCAAAUAUUCUCUACAUGCUCUGGUUUUACUAUAUUGGGUAAGAUCUUUAAAUUUUAAAAAUUGUUUUUAUACUAGCUAAAAACUAUAGAAACCUAAAUAUUCAAGAGGAGCAAUAUGGCUGAAUCAAUUGGUACAUUGUUCCACAACUCUUAUGCAGACUUAAGAAUGGUAGUUAAAAAUAUGGCGGUUUAAGUAACUCAGAAAAUACUCAAAUGUAAAAAAGUAGAAUAUUGCAUGAAUGAUGAGAUUACUGCUGUGCCAUCUGAUGAUGAACUGGUUGAGCAAAAGUUUUCAAACAUAUUCAACUAUAGUGCCACUAGUAAACGUGUGGGGUGGUGUGCAGAAAUAUAGAGAUAUGUGACCUGAUUAGACUCACUGUCCCCACUUAGAGCCUCAUAGCUGCCUGAGACACCCAACUCUCUCCUGCAAACCCUACAUAGCUGCCACUAGGAACUAAUGUUAGGAAGUUUAUCUAGGUGUGCCUAACCUGUCCUGCCCCAUGCAAGAUGCCAUGCCAAGAAUAAUGGCACUGGAUACUGCAGAAUCCAAGUCAUCUUGAGGGUUUUUACCCUAAAUAUUCAGAAAUGAAAUAAACAUAUCCAUGCAACUGAAUUGU